rnacentral:lncRNA from 1 species
ACAUAGAUGUCCCAGCAGUCGUGGGAUCCUCUCACCCCCCAUCUCCUGCCUGGAGCUGGCUCCCUGGGGGUUUUCCUCUGUGUCCCCCCCUCACCAGAGCCUGGCCCGUGGUGGGUGAUCCCCAUGGGACACAUGGAGCUGGGGGGUGGCAGAGCCUCCCAGGGUGAAGACUUUUCUCCUGAGCAGGUUCGCAAAAUGUCUGUCUCAGUGAGACAGGAGAAUGAGUCACCCCCAGGACACCCCCUCCAUGGCAUCUCACACUGACCUGCUUUUCUCUCAGCCCAUUUUCUACACCAAACCCAUGUUCUGCUCUGCCUCUUCACGCUGCUUUUAGUGAUGACCUGUGUGUUGCUGGGAGCAGCUCUUCUUCCUCCUCCUCCUCCUCAGGACGAAGCAUCCAGGCAGCAGCCUUCUCCCUCCCCAUCUUCCCCGUCUGCCUGGGGCUGUUCUAGCUCUGUUUGUGUGAGUCUGGACCAAAUGACUCAGUUCCUUCCUGAAACCCCACCUCAAAAACCCCUUUUGCUCUAGUAGAUCAAGGUUUUCAUCAGUGGCAAAAACCUGAGGAGCAUCACUGGGGCUACCAGGGGUGACAGGGAGAGUGACCACAUUGGUCUGGGGCAGCUGUGAAAGGCCUGGUUGUGUUUUCUGUGAAUAGCAGGAGAAUAAUGUCCUUGUGGAGGAAUAAAGCCUUUCAAAUUAGGUUUUUAAAAGGAGCAAUUGAAAUCCUUGAGAAGCUGGAGAUACUGUUGGUGGUAGAGGACAGAUGUGGUUAACGGAUUCUUAGAGAAGCUUGCCUGUGCCCUGACUGACCCAGGAGCAAAUCACCCUGUGCAGAUGAAUAAUGGCUGUUUUGAUAAAGAAGAUACACGGCAGCUCUUUUUCUUAACCCGGACACCCUUCCUGUCCCUCCUCCUCCUCUUCUUCAGCUUCUUCCCUGGGGAGUUUCUGGCAGGAAGGCCACUCCAGAUCACGUCACCGCGUGAGCCCACGGAGCGUGGCUGGCCCAGCAGCAGGACAAGCGCCGUUGCCUCUGCCUGUGCCCCCCAGACUCCUCCCCACACACUCAGGCCCCCUUUCCCGGGCUGUCUCUGUCCUCACGUCCCUUCUGUCUGGGCCGAGGGCUGGCUCUGCUCGUUGGGGCUGGCAGUGGUGGCCUUGAGGUGGAAUCCAGAGGGAUUUGCCCCACCUGGCUCAGGAGGAGGGGAUGAGGAGGUGCCCCCUCCCCAAGCAGAGAGACGGGGUGUCUUCACUGCCGCCGGACACAGGAAACACGUUUUUGCUUCCUUCAGGCCGAUGGCAGCUUCCCUGGAGUCAGACAUUGGCUUUUCUGCGGAUUUAUGGAGAGGGGAACAGAUGUGUAAUGUCUAUCCUGUAAAUGCUGGGUGACUUCCGUCCUGCCCCGCGCGGGAUCCCUGCAGCAGCCCCCGCUCAGCCCCAGACCCAAGGCAAGAGCCCCCCUCACCCUCCUCCCUCCCCAACUCCCCUUCUUUUGGGUUUUCUUUUAACUUUCCUGAAGGUGGGAGGAGGAUUUUUCCCACAGUUCAGCCUCAGGCACUGCCUGGAGUGAGGAAACCCAGUCAUCCUGAGAGCUUCCAGCGGCCGGCUGCUGGCGGGGAGGGAAUCUGGGGACCACCAGCCUGGCCAGGGGGCAGGCACUGCUCUCCUGGCACCCUGACUCUGCCUGGGGGGUCCCUUAGUGCCAUGUUGGAUGGUUUCUGUGUUCCCCUGGGGCGCAGCAGGGCCAGGCACCAGCUACGGCUCCCUGAGGUGCUGUUUAUAUGUGUCUGUAUCUUUAUUAUGUACUUACAUGUAAUAUGUAAACAGAUAAGUCUCUUUUUACAAGUUUAUAAAAUUGAAAUUAAAAGCUCGUACCCUAUCAAGCUGGGGCCUGAAGCUGGGCUAGAGGUGCGGGAGUUGGGGGGAGCACAGGGGUGCAGUGGGAUGGGAGAUGGGGAGCCGCUGAGAGGAUUAGCGCUGGGGGAAAGAGGAGGGGAGAAGAGGAAGGUGGGUGCAUUGUAUUGGGAGAAGCUGGUGAGAUGCCGUCACGGAGAGGGUGGAAGAAGAGGAAGAGGGGGCAGAUUGGAGAAGCAACAAAGCCAUGAGUGAGUGAGGUUUGGCUGGAGGAGCCUUGGUGGGAGCCAGAGGAGCGAGAAGGGAAGCCGCAGAGGAGGAAAUGAGCCUGGGUGGAGGAGACGUGCUGCAGGCACUGGGAGGAAAGCUGGGAUGGAGGAAGACCACUGGUGGUCAUCAGAGGGGAGACUAAAAGAGCCGGAGACCCUGGGAGCAUGAGGGGGCUGGAGGCAGCAAGCCCAGCUUUGCCAGUCACCGGGGUGUUCCGGGCAGGUUACAGAGAAAAGCCCCCACUUUCGGUGGUCUCCAAAACUCC